rnacentral:rRNA from 1 species
AGUGAACGCUGGCGGUAGGCCUAACACAUGCAAGUCGAACGGCAGCACAGAGGAGCUUGCUCCUUGGGUGGCGAGUGGCGGACGGGUGAGGAAUACAUCGGAAUCUACUCUGUCGUGGGGGAUAACGUAGGGAAACUUACGCUAAUACCGCAUACGACCUACGGGUGAAAGCAGGGGAUCUUCGGACCUUGCGCGAUUGAAUGAGCCGAUGUCGGAUUAGCUAGUUGGCGGGGUAAAGGCCCACCAAGGCGACGAUCCGUAGAUGGUCUGAGAGGAUGAUCAGCCACACUGGAACUGAGACACGGUCCAGACUCCUACGGGAGGCAGCGGUGGGGAAUAUUGGACAAUGGGCGCAAGCCUGAUCCAGCCAUACCGCGUGGGUGAAGAAGGCCUUCGGGUUGUAAAGCCCUUUUGUUGGGAAAGAAAUCCAUCUGGUUAAUACCCGGGUGGGAUGACGGUACCCAAAGAAUAAGCACCGGCUAACUUCGUGCCAGCCGCCGCGGUAA